GGGUUACUCUACAACAAAUACAAAGACUGAUUGAGCUAACUGUGUCCAAGUUUCAGAUGUUAGAAAUCUUGUUCUGGACUUGGAGGGAAGGUCUGAGUGGCGUAUAUGUAAAUGGAAAAUAAGUAACACGAGCUUCAAAUUUUAAAAGAAGUUAAACUUAGCUCAAAGCUAAGUUAGCUUUAUUGACGAUAACGCUGUCACAGAAAAUGCAUAUCGUUGGCUUUGUGUGUAAGCACCAGUAAGGGUGAAACACGAACUCAACCUGAAAACCAAUUCAGCUUUUCUCAUCUUAAGUAAAUUAAUGUUUACGUAUACCAGAUAUAAACAGCGACUUUCAGCUGCUCUGUAAUGUGUCACCUACUUCCUGUACGUUCUGACGUUAUGGACUGCGCAAUAAUCAAGAAAUCUGAUUGGAUAGAAUCGGCAAGGAAGCAGAGAGCCGCACCCACGUUCGCGAGUUAGGUUCACAAUCACAAAUCUUUAACGGGGCGUAAACGUCUUAUAAAAAUAUUUUAUCCAAUUUAUUGUUUGUUAUUAAAUGUCAGUUUAGUGUUUCUGAUAACUGAUGGUCUUCUCCUCCAUGCUUACGCAAAUAAUAUAGGUAUUGUACGAUUUACUUGCAGCUGUUUACAAAAAGAAGCCCUGUUUGGAAACAAGAUUUUAACUGAGGAUGGCUUCUCGUGGGAAAUCAGAAACGGGCAAAUUGAGGCAGAAUAUGGAGGAACAGCUUGACCGACUGAUGCAGCAGCUUCAGGACCUGGAGGAAUGCAGAGAGGAACUUGAUGAGGAAGAGUAUGAGGAAACAAAGAAGGAAACUUUGGAGCAGCUGGGCGAAUUCAAUGACUCCCUAAAGAAGAUAAUGACAGGAGACAUGACCCUAGUGGACGAACUUAGUGGAAUGCAGCUGGCAAUCCAAGCUGCCAUCAGCCAAGCAUUUAAAACCCCAGAGGUGAUCCGACUCUUUGCUAAGAAGCAGCCAGGACAGCUGAGAACCAGACUAGCAGAGUGUGUGACAUUCCGGACAGAUGGACCGAGACGUGAUGGUGGGGAAAAUGUCACGGGAUGUGCACACCCAGCAGAAAAUGGAAAUCCUUACAGCCCUGAGGAAACUUGGAGAGAAGCUCACUCCAGAGGAUGAGACUUUUCUUACAGAAAAUGCUACGGCUACUUUGAGCCAGUUUGAAAAAGUGACUGCAAACCUUGGGUCAGAAGACAAAAUUAUGGCUUUAGCAAGCUCUGGUGUCAAAACCAAGGUAUAGCAAGUCUACCAAAAUUUAAUUUUAUGUCAUUGUUUAUGUUCUAAUUUUGGAAAAAAGAAGUGCCAUUUGAUUACAGGUUGUGUACAUAAUCAACACACUUAGGUUUUCCUAUAGAUGUUAACACUUUUAAACAGUAUUGUUUUAUACCUGUGAACUUUUGUAAAUGUGUUUUUAUUUGUCCAGAUAAGUGUGAAAUUGUAUUAUAGUAGGUACGAGCAUGCAAUCUGCUAAAUAUAAAAAUAUGUACAUGAAUGUAGAGGAUAGUGGGCGCAGCUCAAGUAAGAGGAGCAUUGUUGUGAUUUGUGCUGUACCGGGUUGCUGUGUCUGUUUUUAACAUGAAAAUUUACCAGUGUUUCUAAGAUGUUGAUUUUCUGUAUGGUGGCUAGUUUUUAACUAAAUUGCACAUUUAAAUCAUAAGGACUUUGGACAAAAUAACAGAAACGCCAGGUGAAUCAGAGCUUUCCCAAAUCUCCAGUACACAAAGACCUGUGGGGGCCAUAUUGUAUGAUGUAAGCCUGCAGUGCUCCAGUCAACAGUCAACAUUUGACUAUUUUAAUUAGUUUUAAGAUAAAGGAUUUUUAUUGUGUCCAAUUUAGUAGAAGUUUUUAUUGUUGAAGUUUUUUCUUUAGUCUUUUUGGAUCUUUUAUCUUAAAAGUGGCAUCUAUAGUUGAGGUAAUAUUUUUUUCUGUGUUUAUGAAUUGUUUAGCUCCACCAAGUGAUUUUUUUUCCUCAUAAUUUUAGUCAAAAGUUUAAAUCAUUGAAAAUUUGACUGAAAAAUGAAAAGUUAGAAAAAAAAACCACAGACCUUUUUAAUUCUUUCUUCUGCUGUGAAGUAUCUUAGAGCUUCUUAGAUUUAUCUAAUGUCCCUGUUAAUAUAACUGCAUGUAAGGCAGGUCAAAGUAGUUCCACCUCCAGCAGCCACAGCAGGAACCAUAUUGUUGUACAUCAAAGAUUCAAACCUGCACUUUGGCUUUAACUUUUAAUACUCUUAAGAGUAUUUUUAAAAUAUUUAAAUAUGCCUUACUACGAUGGUGCAAAUGUAAUGUUACGAUACAUCAAAAGACAUCAAUCUCAAUAAAUAUGUUGUAAGUGUGACCAAAAUGUGAUCAGAAAUGUCCAAGUUUGAUUGUUUGUCAUCUGUUAAAGCCUUGCAGAAGGCCUUUAGCCAUCAUCUCAUGUGUCUCAUGGGUUUUAUUUAUUGUCUUUGGACUUUUAACUGCCAAGGAAGAUAAGAUUAGUCUGCAAUGAGCAAUGCUGGCUUCAUCUGAUACUGUAAAGUAAUAAGGGUGUAAAUGUUCUAAGGGAAGAGAGUUAAUGUGAUGUAAAAAAGUCCCCCCACUAUCUGUUGUCUUUAAGGAAAAACCUGAACAAGUUAGUGGAGCAACAAAAUGCAGAUGCUCAGGUCCGAUGGACUGCUUAAUAAGAGUUAAGCAAUUAACAUCUUGUGCUCAGCUGAAUGUGAUUAUUUAUCAAGAUGGUAAAAGAGACUGAAGAAUUCGCUGUAGGUGCAAAACUUCCCAGUAAGUCUUUCAGUAAGGUGUCGUUUGAUUAUGAUACUAAUGAAUGUGCACAAUAUGCAAACCAGAGAACCAGAGAACUCCUCCUGAGCUGAAGCUGCACAGUUAGAUAUUCAUUGUAAAGUCCUUUUUGUAAUGACAAAAGGGCAUGUGGCAGUUCAGUGAGGAGAAAAUGAAAGCACACCACAGAUUGAUAAAGUGGUGUGGUCUUUAACAUCACACUUAUAUAAUCAGGUGUUUCUGUUAUUUUACCGAGCCCCUGUUUUCUUUGAUCAUUUUGUCAUUUUAAACAGGUUGACAGCAGUGGUUUAACACUUCAAGCUCUAUUAAAUUUAAGUUUGGCUUUUAAAAACUUAAUGUCACAAUGUUUACAUCAUCCAUUAUGAUCCUCAGCUUUAAAGCUUUCUUUUUGGUGUGAAUAAAACAAUUAAAAAAAAAAAACUUUAUUAAUUUG